rnacentral:rRNA from 1 species
CUAAGCAUAUCAAUAAGCGGAGGAAAAGAAACCAACUGGGAUUGCCUUAGUAACUGCGAGUGAAGCGGCAAAAGCUCAAAUUUGAAAUCGAGUACCUUUGGGUGCUCGAGUUGUAAUUUGGAGAGGCAACUUCGAGAAGGGCGUUGGCCUAAGUUCCUUGGAACAGGAUGUCAUAGAGGGUGAGAAUCCCGUGCUUGGCUGACUGCUCCUUCUUAUGUGAAGUGUCUUCGAUGAGUCGAGUUGUUUGGGAAUGCAGCUCAAAAUGGGUGGUAAACUCCAUCUAAGGCUAAAUAUUGGCGAGAGACCGAUAGCGCACAAGUAGAGUGAUCGAAAGAUGAAAAGCACUUUGAAAAGAGAGUUAAAAAGUACGUGAAAUUGUUGAAAGGGAAGCGCUUGAGACCAGACUCGGUGAUAGGUGAUCAGCGGUUACUUCUGUGCCGUGCACUCACCUGUUACUGGGCCAGCAUCAGUUGCAGCGGUGGGAUAAAGGUUCAGGGAAUGUGGCUCUCUUUGGGGAGUGUUAUAGCCCUGGACGCAAUGCCACCUGCUGCGACUGAGGACCGCGCUUCGGCUAGGAUGCUGGCAUAAUGGUCUUCAGCGACCCGUCU